AUGGACUCAGGAAAAAAGAUUAUUAAUAAAAAAGAUAAGACACCUGUGGCCCCACACACCACUGACACCUCAUCUUCAUCUUCCUCCCUCUGUUUCUCUCUCGCACGGGCAGAGUACAAGCAGCGCCUCCGCCCUCCCCACUACAUCCCGCCGCCAGCUCAGGGACCCUUCCCCUCCCUUGUUGUGCGCUUCUUUGGCAGGGACUGCACCUCUCCAGUCCCCACCGCCGUUGAGAUGGCCGCCCUUCCCUUUGCCUCUCCACCUCCGUCGAUGGAGGCGCAGACUUUGUCUCCACCAGAUCCUCGGUCGCGGACUUGA
rnacentral:rRNA from 1 species